AUUGAACGCUGGCGGCAUGCUUUACACAUGCAAGUCGAACGGCAGCACGGGGGCAACCCUGGUGGCGAGUGGCGAACGGGUGAGUAAUGCAUCGGAACAUACCCAGUCGUGGGGGAUAACGUAGCGAAAGUUACGCUAAUACCGCAUACGUCCUGAGGGAGAAAGCGGGGGAUCGCAAGACCUCGCGCGAUUGGAGUGGCCGAUGUCAGAUUAGCUAGUUGGUGGGUAAAGGCCCACCAAGGCGACGAUCUGUAGCGGGUCUGAGAGGAUGAUCCGCCACACUGGGACUGAGACACGGCCCAGACUCCUACGGGAGGCAGCAGUGGGGAAUUUUGGACAAUGGGGGAAACCCUGAUCCAGCCAUGCCGCGUGAGUGAAGAAGGCCUCGGUU
rnacentral:rRNA from 1 species